UCCAAUUGUCUUCCUAAGUCGCCACAGAUAUUGUUUCUUUCUUUGUAUUGUACUUUAUUUCUCCAUUUUCCAUAGGCUCUCUCAGAAGUGUUGGUGUUCUUGCUCUCAAGAGUGUGCUUAACUAUACGUUUGUUCCUCUUUUAAUUUCUACCCGCAUCUUUUUUGGUUCGCUUUAUAUAUAUCUUAAUUUCGCAAUCCAAUGGCUGGUGUAUGUGAAAACUGAUGGUGAAACUCCAUUUUCAAACUUUAACCUUGCUGGGUUUUAAUUAACCAUUAGAGGCAUAGGGACAAAUGAAAGCUUAUACAUGUGAUUUAGAAACAAUUUCUUCAUCUUUUCCUAAUUUGUAUCUAUCUCUCCCAUUUAUCUUUUUCGAAAAAUCUUUACAUUGGGUCCACUUUUUGGGUUCUCUUCGUACUUAUAUUCUUCAUCUUCUUCUCUUUUGGUGUUUGUUCUGGGUUCUCUUCAUACUUUCUAAUUUUGCAAUUUCGUGGCUAUUGUAUGAUUCUAAUUGACAACUGUAGAGUAACAUAUCAUAGUAUAUUCCUAAAUUCAAUUUCUGUAUGCCUCAAAUCUUAUUUGCCCAAAGCUUUCUACUUUUUUGAAAUAAAUUGAUCUCUUGUGCCAGACUUUUACCAUUUCCAUUGGUGUAAAGAACUGACAAGCUGAAGUUGUUCGAGCUGUUCCCUGAAACUUUAGUUUCAUUAUAGCCCAUCGGAAUACAGAUAACGAUACAGCCUUGCAGCUACAAGAAGCAAAGCUGAAAAAAAUGCAGUAGCCCUUGCUGUGGAUUAGUUAUAAAAAGAACACCGUUCUUAUGAUAUUUUUUGCAUAUUUUGUUAAAAUGAACCAUAUCGUACCUAUGUGUAUGGGAAACUCUCUUCAUUAUGAUUACCUAUGUUUGAUUUUGGUAUGGGCAACUGUAUUAUGCACCUAAAGUCUGCCAAGACAACUCAAAGCAUCUGAAUUUGUUUUAUGAGUGCAAAUACCAGUUUGUACUCACGAAAGUUAUGUAAUUGCUAUUUUCACUCAUCUAAAAGAGUAUAUAACUCUAACUGCUUGCAAGUAAUGCAAUAGUUUAAAAUAAUGUAAUCUUUUACAUGUA